GACAAAUACAAUGGGCAUGUGGUCAGAGAAUGUAGCAUCCUUGACAUGUAAGUUACAGACAGGUAACCCAUGAUAUGAUAACAUCAAGUCAAACAUGUGUGACUAUGUUCUUGAGUGCCACCCUUAACAGAUUAAAUAAAAUUAAAAGAGCUUACGAAGUCCAUGAAGUCCUUAACCAGGGGGGCUUCCCUGGGCAACAGAUGUGGAUAUUAAAAUCACAGAGUAGCAGGAUCUGGUCAUAUUGUGAUGCACUGUCAGCGAGAAUGUUAGAGAACUGAGAUUAAAAAAAAAUCCUCAUUAUAUUUAGGAAGCAGUUAAACCACUGCACACAGCAGCGAUUAGCCCAGUUCACACAAACAAAGUUCAAAGGUGGUGUAGCAUCUUCUUGAGGAUAGCUGCUUAAAGGCGAAGUGUGCUUUAAAAACAACAGCUAACCCUCCGGCACAACCAGAAGAUCUCGGAGCGCUAAAAUAAGCACAGCCAGCUGGCAGUAGUUAAGAAAAGGUGCUUAACUCACACAGGUGAAGUCCAAGUUUCUGUCAGACAGAGGAAAUCCAAUGCAUGGGAAGAAAAGACAUUUUCAUUUGCCACUGAUCUGACAUUUAUUAAACCCAACCUGAGGGGAGCUGGGUCGGAGACUUCCCUGCAGCAACAACCUGAGCCACAGGUCGAAUGUUGGAUUAAGCCACUCCCCACCAACGCAAAUGGCGAAGAGGCAGGAAUUGAAGAGGGCUCCUCUUGAUAGAGCCAACAAAGGGAACCAACCAGGAGCCCGCAGGAUCCACGCCAUUGCACCAGGAGUCAUGGAAAAGAUUAAUGAAUGAAGUGAAGAUCGUUGGGAAGGUAAGAAAUCCAGAGUCUCAGCUUAGCGAGGUGACCUCCACAGGUACCCCGUCUCCUGCGUCCCUUCGCGUAGAUGGUGGUGGUAUGGGAAUCCAGCACAAUGGUAUUGCUUCCAGAUGAGGAGGCAGAGAAUCUUGGCUGCCUUUGUCAAGCAGAGCUAAAACUUUGGGACAUGAACCUAUUUUCAGUUUCUGGCAAUUACAAGACAGUGUGGAACUGAGAUGUUGUACAACGUUGGCUAAAAAAUAGAAAAUGAGACAAAUAAGAGAGAGCGGUAGAUGGCGUGCCAACCACAGGUGCCAUCUUGAAUCACACCAAUAACAACAAUUAUUACAUUACAUUAAAAUGUAGGAAUGCUGACAAAAUGGUUUUUUUUCUUGAGUAAAUUUCCAAUGACAAUUUUUAACAGUAAUUGAUCUUAAAUUUGGUUCAUUUCAGCAGAAGAAAACACGACAUACUGCAACAUCAAAACAUCACACUGUCAAAAUCAACCAAUCAAGAAAUGCAGAGGGAGUGAUCCAGCUGCAGUUUACUCAAACUGGUGAGAUCACUUAUGAAGAAAUCAUGUUGAAAGAAAGCCAAAAUAAAGACUUUAAACCAGAGCCAGACGUCGUCUACUCUUCACUGAAGUAGUCCACCAGUCCAACCACUGAUGUCCAGCUGCUGGUCUCUAUCUGGUUCCCCAGCACCUCAGACAAGGAGACAUCCACAAGUUCAAAAGAUUACUCUGAUAUUUACAUAUUUUUUCCACUUAUUUAGUCUCAUAUGCUUUAAAAACUUACAUAAGGUUAACUGGAAUUACUUUAGUACUUAAAAUAAACAAUGAUAAUAAAGUCACUCUAUGAGUUUGGCACUUUGUUCUGUUUCCCGUAAUAGUGAUUUUUUUUUUUUUUACUAUAGGAUUAAUAAA